rnacentral:rRNA from 1 species
GAUGAACGCUGGCGGCGUGCCUAAUACAUGCAAGUCGAGCGAACAGACGAGGAGCUUGCUCCUCUGACGUUAGCGGCGGACGGGUGAGUAACACGUGGAUAACCUACCUAUAAGACUGGGAUAACUUCGGGAAACCAGAGCUAAUACCGGAUAACAUGUUGAACCGCAUGGUUCAACAGUGAAAGACGGUCUUGCUGUCACUUAUAGAUGGAUCCGCGCCGCAUUAGCUAGUUGGUAAGGUAACGGCUUACCAAGGCAACGAUGCGUAGCCGACCUGAGAGGGUGAUCGGCCACACUGGAACUGAGACACGGUCCAGACUCCUACGGGAGGCAGCAGUAGGGAAUCUUCCGCAAUGGGCGAAAGCCUGACGGAGCAACGCCGCGUGAGUGAAGAAGGUCUUCGGAUCGUAAAACUCUGUUAUUAGGGAAGAACAAAUGUGUAAGUAACUAUGCACGUCUUGACGGUACCUAAUCAGAAAGCCACGGCUAACUACGUG